UACUUGCUGCGGGAUUCGAACCCGCGACCUAUCCCUUAUAAGAGGAUCGCUCUGCCUGCUGAGCUAAGCAAGC
rnacentral:tRNA from 1 species